rnacentral:rRNA from 1 species
UAUCUCUGUAGAGUCUGCAUAUCAAUAAGCGGAGGAAAAGGAACUAACUAGGAUUCCCUUAGUAACGGCGAGUGAAGCGGGAAGAGCUCAAAUUUGAAAUCUUCAAGGGUUUACCUUUACGAAUUGUAGUUUAAAGAAGUGUUUUCUGUUGAGUGUUUUGGUAAAAGUUCUUUGGAAUAGGACAUCAUAGAGGGUGAGAAUCCCGUAUUUGACCAUUACUUUCCCACUUUGUGAUACACUUUCAAAGAGUCGGAUUGUUUGGGAAUGCAGUCCAAAAUGGGUGGUAAAUUUCAUCUAAAGCUAAAUAUUGGCGAGAGACCGAUAGCGAACAAGUACCGUGAGGGAAAGAUGAAAAGAACUUUGAAAAGAGAGUUAAACAGUACGUGAAAUUGUCAAAAGGGAAGCGUUCGACACCAGUGUUGUUUUUCUGAAAAUCAAUUAAAGAACUGUUUAUGCUAAGCUGUUUAGACUUUAUCAGCUAUCUGUUUAGUUUUGAGCUUUUCUUUAAUGCACUUUUCAGUUAACAAGUCAACAUCAAUUUCUCUUGCUGUAAAAAAGCUUGAGGAAGGUGGCUUGAGAUUCGUCUUAAGUGUUUAUAGCCUCUUGCCUAUGCAGUCGGAGAGAUUGAGGUCUGCAGCGUAGAUCCUUCGGGGCUAAAUGCAUUUGUGCUAAGUUAUAGCAUUUUAUAGACAACUUGUUGACUAUGAUCAGUCGUGUAGCUUACUCGCUUAUGCUAUUUUACCUACGCUUAGGAUGUUGACGAUCAGCUGAGCGCG